AUUUUUGUGAUGAAAACCAUGAUAGGGACAUCUGAUGUCUAUGAUUGAUUUAUCAUUAUAGUAGAACUGAAAUU